CCCUUAGACGUUCUGGGCCGCACGCGCGCUACACUGACCAGUGCAACAAGCAUCCGUCCUUGGCCGACAGGCCCGGGCAAUCUUUGAACGCUGGUCGUGAUGGGGAUAGACUUUUGCAAUUUUUGGUCUUCAACGAGGAAUUCCUAGUAAACGCAAGUCGUCAACUUGCAUUGAUUACGUCCCUGCCCUUUGUACACACCGCCCGUCGCACCUACCGAUUGAAUGGUCCGGUGAAGCCUCCGGAUUGGCGCGCACCUCGGUGCCGCCGAGAAGUUGGCUAAACCUUACCAUUUAGAGGAAGGUGGAGUCGUAACA
rnacentral:rRNA from 1 species